GGCUGGAUGGCCGAGCGGUCUAAGGCGCCAGACUCAAGCUUAACCCGCUUCCUGGUUCAUCAAGAACCAGGCGUAUUCUGGUCUCGCAAGAGGCGCGUGUUCGAAUCACGCUUCAGUCA